ACCGAAAUAGCUCAGUUGGGAAGCGUGAUACUAUAGAUCGAAAAGUCCCUGGUUCGAUCCCGGUUCCGGCA
rnacentral:tRNA from 1 species